rnacentral:lncRNA from 1 species
AUAAAUGUGUCAUGCAUUUCCUCAUCCUGUGAUACUGCUCUGUCCAUUUCAGAUCAAAGUCUGGAGACCAAGAAGAUCCUCCUGACGGAGACGAUACCAGAACUGGGCCAGAUGGAGUACCAGCUACUGAAAUUCUUCAUCCUGCUCAUUAUCCUGCUUAUCCUGUCGUCGUGUUACCUGGCCUUUCGUGUCUGCAGCCUGGAGCAGCAGCUCUCUUUCCUCAGCAACAACCCUGCACUGACUCUCAGAGAGAGGUAACCACUGACGGUCACCACUGCACUUCAACAGGGAAGUCGGUCCAGCGCUGGCGCUCUCUCUGUCUCUGUGGCCACCUUGCAACUAUGCAAACAAACUCUGUUAUGUAUUUAUGCAAAGUCCAUCUCGGAUUGUGUUAACAAUGAG